rnacentral:lncRNA from 1 species
AGGGUACAGAGAAUCCCUGAGCAGAAUCCUGGGUGUUUGUUUCUUUCCUGUGGUCCUGCCCUGCCCAGGCCUCUGAGAAAUGCAGAGCCUUUCCUCUCCCCAUCCCUCCCUCUCCCUCAGAGGUGAUUUUGAAAGGUCUCAGCUUCUUAUGCAUACCCCUUGGGGUCAGGAGAUUAUUUUUUUGACAUUUGCCUUCUGGCAGAGCUGGGACCAAUGAGUGGGAGGUGGAUUUUGGCGGAACACAGGAGGAAUUCUCUUAGUCAGAGCCAUCCAAAAAUGGAAAGACCUGACUCAGAAGACAGCGUGUCCCCUGCCUGCAUAAGGUCCUGGUGAGGUCCUGUCAAGGGUGCUCUGCCCUGUGCUUUGACAGGUGUGUGCGGAGAUGAAAGAUGAGGAUGUCAAGACUUGGAGUAGGUGACAGUUGGCCUUGGGCUUCGGUGGCCAACCCAUGACUACAAAAGCCCGAGAAGCCAGCAGCUUCCCCGGCUCCUCCACCAAGUGGCCUCUGGGUGAUGGGGAAGCUUGUCCUCUGCUUUGUCACACACAAAACUCUAAAAGUCAGCAUCCCAACGCAUCGGCCUGGAGAGCCCGUCCAGGAGGAUUUAUGUGGAAUCUGGCUUUUCUGAUAGCAUCGACGUUCCUUCCCGUGCCUUCUGAGUCUGUUUCUCUUAAUUUGACUGUGGUCUCUGCUCUUCGCUGGACUCAGGGAGAUGUCACAAAUUCUGCACCAGAAUCUCACAAAUCACAAAGAACUUACUCAUGUAACGAAACACCACCUGUUUCCCAGUAACUAUGGAAAUAAAAAAAAAUUAAUAAUAAAAAAUUUAAAAAAUAAAA